rnacentral:rRNA from 1 species
AUGGACCCGGCUUACAACAACUAUGGCAUAUCGGGUAUGUCCAUCAUCCGGCGCUUUAACUUGACAAAAGACAGGUGCACCGUCGCGGCCAUGCGGAGCUGCAUCGAGUGGGAACCCGAGUCCUUCCCAUUGGCGGCGCCGCUCCUCGGCAAGCCGGUCGUUCCCCUCGGCCUUCUGCCGCCGUCAGCCGACGGAGCCCGCCGUGCCGCUGCCAAAGGAGCAGAGCAUGCCACCGUGUGCUGGCUGGACACACAGCCUCCCGACUCUGUUGUUUACGUCGCCCUAGGAAGCGAGGUGCCACUGCGCGUGGAGCAGGUGCACGAGCUGGCCUUCGGGCUAGAGCUCGCCGGGACGCGCUUCCUCUGGGCCCUAAGAAAGCCUAGCGGUGCCGCUGUACUCGACGACGAUGGCGUGGACAUGCUUCCUCCUGGUUUCCAAGAGCGCACUCGCGGCCAGGGGCUGGUGACCACGGGAUGGGUUCCUCAGGUAAACAUCCUAGGGCACACGGCCGUGGGCAGGUUCCUGACGCAUUGCGGCCGGAACUCGCUGAUCGAGGGCCUCAUGUUCGGGCACCCACUUGUCAUGCUGCCCAUCUUCGGCGACCAAGGGCCGAACGCGUGGCAAAUGGAGGCGAAGAAGGUGGGGUUGCAGGUGGUGAGGAAUCAGGACGACGGGUCGUUCGACCGCCACGGCGUCGCGACAGCGGUCCGGGCCGUCAUGGUUGACGAAGAGGCCAGGAGGGGCUUCGUGGCAGGUGCAGCGAAGAUGCAGGCGGUAGUAGCUGAUACGGAACUUCACGAUAGGUACAUCGACGAAUUUGUCGAGCACCUCAGAUCUUACUACGCCGCUUCAUGUGCAAACUGA